rnacentral:rRNA from 1 species
UGGGGAAUAUUGCACAAUGGGCGAAAGCCUUAUGCAGCGACGCCGCGUGAGGGAUGACGGCCUUCGGGUUGUAAACCUCUUUCAGUAGGGACGAAUCGCAAGUGACGGUACCUGCAGCAGAAGCACCGGCUAACUACGUGCCAGCAGCCGCGGUAAUACGUAGGGUGCGUGCUUUGUCCGGAAUUACUGGGCGUAAAGAGCUCGUAGGCGGUUUGUCACGUCGUCUGUGAAAUCCUAGGGCUUAACCCUGGACGUGCAGGCGAUACGGGCUGACUUGAGUACUACAGGGGAGACUGGAAUUUCUGGUGUAGCGGUGGAAUGCACAGAUAUCAGGAAGAGCACCGAUGGCGAAGACAGGUCUCUGGGUAGUAACUGACGCUGAGGAGCGAAAGCAUGGGUAGCGAACAGG